rnacentral:rRNA from 1 species
UACGUAGGGUGCGAGCGUUGUCCGGAAUUAUUGGGCGUAAAGGGCUCGUAGGCGGUUUGUCGCGUCGGGAGUGAAAUCAUCUGGCUUAACUGGGUGCUUGCUUUCGAUACGGGCAGACUAGAGGUAUGCAGGGGAGAACGGAAUUCCUGGUGUAGCGGUGAAAUGCGCAGAUAUCAGGAGGAACACCGGUGGCGAAGGCGGGUCUCUGGGCCGAUACUGACGCUGAGGAGCGAAAGCGUGGGGAGCAAACAGG